rnacentral:rRNA from 1 species
UACGAAGGGGGUUAGCGUUGUUCGGAAUUACUGGGCGUAAAGCGCACGUAGGCGGCUUUGUAAGUUAGAGGUGAAAGCCCGGGGCUCAACUCCGGAACUGCCUUUAAGACUGCAUCGCUUGAAUCCAGGAGAGGUGAGUGGAAUUCCGAGUGUAGAGGUGAAAUUCGUAGAUAUUCGGAAGAACACCAGUGGCGAAGGCGGCUCACUGGACUGGUAUUGACGCUGAGGUGCGAAAGCGUGGGGAGCAAACAGG